rnacentral:lncRNA from 1 species
UUUUGAAAUAUUUAUUUUCUUUAAUUCAUUAUUGAUUAUAACAACUUGAUUAUUAUUAACUCAUUUUAACUUGGGAAAUUAUCAUUUGUAUACCCUUAGUUUACUCUAUUAUCAAAAAUACUACAACACUUUGAGGGUGUAUCAAUCGUCCACCCUAAGUUGACAAAAUGUAUCAGCUGACCACCAAACCGUUAGUUGCCGUUUAAGUAUGAUGACGUCAGAAUGGUAAUUUGGUCUUUUCAUAUGAUACAAGUGAUAAUUUAAAGGUAUACAAGUGAUAAAAAAAAGAAUUUAAGGGUAUACACGUGAUAAUUUUUAAGGGUAAAAUCGUCAAUUCAUUGUAACUCUGUUAACUUUCAAACGGAAACUAACGGUUUGGUGGUCGGCUGAUACAUUUUGUCAAUUAAGGGUGGAUGAUUGAUACACCCUCAAAGUGUUGUAGUAUUUUUAAUAACAGAGCAAAUAUAAGGUAUAUGAAUGAUAAUUUCCCUUUCAACUUUACAACAAUUUUAAAAAAAUUGAAAAAAAAUAAGCAAAAGCCCAAGCUCGCCCCAAGCCCAGUCCUUACAUUUUUACUAGCUCAGGCCCAAGCCCUUAAAUUGCCAACCCUAUUAAAAACAGUUGUGUGUAUUUUGGUAAAUUUUACUAAUUAACCGCAAUAAGAAUGUAAAUGAUCGAAUUAGACAUAAUAUUGAAUAAAAUU